CCUACGGGAGGCAGCAGUGGGGAAUAUUGGGCAAUGGGCGCAAGCCUGACCCAGCAACGCCGCGUGAAGGAAGAAGGCUUUCGGGUUGUAAACUUCUUUUGUCAGGGACGAAACAAGUGACGGUACCUGACGAAUAAGCCACGGCUAACUACGUGCCAGCAGCCGCGGUAAUACGUAGGUGGCAAGCGUUAUCCGGAUUUACUGGGUGUAAAGGGCGUGUAGGCGGGGAAGCAAGUCAGAUGUGAAAACCACGGGCUCAACCUGUGGCCUGCAUUUGAAACUGUUUUUCUUGAGUGCUGGGGAGGCAAUCGGAAUUCCGGGUGUAGCGGUGAAAUGCGUAGAUAUACGGAGGAACACCAGUGGCGAAGGCGGAUUGCUGGACAGUAACUGACGCUGAGGCGCGAAAGCGUGGGGAGCAAACAGGAUUAGAUACCCCAGUAGUC
rnacentral:rRNA from 1 species